GAGCGCAACCCUUAUCCUUUGUUGCCAGCGGUCCGGCCGGGAACUCAAAGGAGACUGCCAGUGAUAAACUGGAGGAAGGUGGGGAUGACGUCAAGUCAUCAUGGCCCUUACGACCAGGGCUACACACGUGCUACAAUGGCGCAUACAAAGAGAAGCGACCUCGCGAGAGCAAGCGGACCUCAUAAAGUGCGUCGUAGUCCGGAUUGGAGUCUGCAACUCGACUCCAUGAAGUCGGAAUCGCUAGUAAUCGUGGAUCAGAAUGCCACGGUGAAUACGUUCCCGGGCCUUGUACACACCGCCCGUCACACCAUGGGAGUGGGUUGCAAAAGAAGUAGGUAGCUUAACCUUCGGGAGGGCGCUUACCACUUUGUGAUUCAUGACUGGGGUGAAGUCGUAACAAGGUAACCGUAGGGGAACCUGCGGUUGGAUCACCUCCUUACCUUAAAGAAGC
rnacentral:rRNA from 1 species